CCUACGGGGGGCAGCAGUGAGGAAUAUUGGUCAAUGGGCUUACGCCUGAACCAGCCAAGUCGCGUGAGGGAAGACUGCCCUAUGGGUUGUAAACCUCUUUUGUCAGGGAGCAAUUGGCGCUACGUGUAGCGUUAUCGAGAGUACCUGCAAAGGAAGCACCGGCUAACUCCGUGCCAGCAGCCGCGGUAAUAAGGAGGGUGCGAGCGUUAAUCGGAAUUACUGGGCGUAAAGGGCUCGUAGGCGGUAUGUCAAGUCAAGGGGGAAAUCCCCGGGCUCAACGUGGGAACCGCCUUUGAAACUGGCAAACUGGAGUUGGUGAGAGGUAUGUGGAAUGCGAGGUGUAGCGGUGAAAUCCGUAGAUAUCUGGAAGAACUUCGAUGGCGAAGGCGACUAUCUGGCACCUAACUGACGCUGAGGAGCGAAAGCGUGGGUAGCAAACAGGAUUAGAUACCCGAGUAGUC
rnacentral:rRNA from 1 species